UGCCGGCGUUGCCUUUCCCGGUGAUUCCUUAGCAUGAGGUGGAGAUGGGGUCGCCUCUUUUGGUGCAGGUGGAGACUGGGACCCCUGCUUGGGUGGAUGUGGCGAUGAUGAUGAAGACGAGUCCUUAGGAGGUGGCGAUGAUGAUGAAGACGAGUCCUUGGGAGGCGGCGAUGAUGAUGAAGACGAGUCCUUUGGAGGCGGAGAUGAUGAUGGAGGCGGCGAGGACGGUGGUGGUGAUGAUGCCGGCGUCGAGGAUGGUGGUGG
rnacentral:lncRNA from 1 species